CAGCCGCCACGGGAAUACGUAGGUGGCAAGCGUUGUCCGGAAUUAUUGGGCGUAAAGGGCUUGCAGGCGGUUUCUUAAGUCUGAUGUGAAAGCCCCCGGCUCAACCGGGGAGGGUCAUUGGAAACUGGGAAACUUGAGUGUAGAAGAGGAGAGUGGAUUUCCACGUGUAGCGGUGAAAUGCGUAGAGAUGUGGAGGAACACCAGUGGCGAAGGCGACUCUCUGGUCUGUAACUGACGUUGAGGAGCGAAAGCGUGGGGAGCGAACAGGAUUUGAUACCCCCGUAGUCCAUGUCUCUUAUAC
rnacentral:rRNA from 1 species